rnacentral:rRNA from 1 species
ACUCCUACGGGAGGCAGCAGUGGGAAUAUUGCACAAUGGGGAAGCCAUCGAUGCAGCCAUGCCGCGCUGUGUGAAGAAGGCCAAUUCGGGCUUGGUUAAAGACACUUUUCAGUCGUGAGGAAGGUAGUGUAGUUAAUAGCUGCAUUAUUUGACGUUAGCGACAGAAGAAGCACCGGCUAACUCCGUGCCAGCAGCCGCGGUAAUACGGAGGGUGCGAGCGUUAAUCGGAAUUACUGGGCGUAAAGCGCAUGCAGGCGGCCUGUUAAGUCAGAUGUGAAAGCCC